GCAUCGGUGGUGUAAUUGGAAGCACGAGGAUCUCCAAAAUCCUUUGUUGUGGUUCGAGUCCAUACUGGUGCG
rnacentral:tRNA from 2 species